GGAGAUUGUGAAGCCACCCUGCAAGAUGAGCCCUGCCUGCCAUGCCUGCACUCAGCACUGAGAUUCUGCAGGACUCACAAGUUGUAAAUAUGUGUAUUAAGAUGCGAAUAACCACCUUCAGUGCAACUUGAAACACCACCAAGAGCUGGGAAUGGAGAGACAAGAACAGGUCAUAGAACAGCUUUAAUUCUGAACCACGAUCACCACCCCUAAAACAGUCUUCCCCCUUUCUCCCUCUCUCUGAUGAAAGUGGGUUAUAACUUCUGCAGGUGGCCAGAAAACGGAUUGCAGUGAACAUCUGCACAUCUCAGUCCCUGAAAAAAAAUUACAAACAUGCUCACUGUCUUGCUAAUGUUCUUCCUUUGAGCCAAGGAUAUUCUCAUGAAAUAGUGAUAUAUGUAUCAAAAUGGUAGCAAAAAGAACUCAGUUGAAUUAAGAACUGUACAAGAGCCUUGAGACUUUAAAGAAAACCCAACAACCAUUUCCUCAAGUAACAUAACUUUUAAUUAAUAUACUCUUAGAUACCCUUCACUUACUGCACAAUGACCUGCCACAGAUAUCACUACACAUAAUAAAAGAAAAAGUUAAACUGGUG
rnacentral:lncRNA from 1 species